rnacentral:lncRNA from 1 species
CAUUGGUCAAAAAGUGGGGGAGGUUAUCAAAGAUAUCAACAGGAGAGAGUUCUAUGAUUACAGGAAUCAUCAAAAAUGCCAAAUUCUCCCGAGAAUUAGCUCAAAUGCUCAAUGUCAUAAAAGUGACAUUGGUGACCCUAGCAAGGACAGAUUGCUGCUGUUGCUGUUAAGUCGCUUCAGUCGUGUCUGACUCUGUGUGACUCCAUAGACAGCAGCCCACCAGCCUCCCCCGUCCCUGGGAUUCUCCAGGCAAGAACACUGGAGUGGGUUGCCAUUUCCUUCUCCAGUGCAUGAAAGUGGAAAGUGAAAGUGAAGUUGCUCAGUCGUGUCCGACUCUUAGCGACCCCAUGGACUGCAGCCUACCAGGCUCCUCCGCCGUGGGGUUUUCCAGGCAAGAGUACUGGAGUGGGGUGCCAUUGCCUUCUCAUAAAGUCCUUCCUUACAGUAGUCAAUCGUCUUCUCCAGCUGCUUAUAAACUCCUUUCGGCUCCUAGACUCAUGGACAGAAAGAAAGCUUCCUGA